rnacentral:rRNA from 1 species
UGGGGAAUCUUCCGCAAUGGACGAAAGUCUGACGGAGCAACGCCGCGUGAGUGAAGACGGCCUUCGGGUUGUAAAGCUCUGUGAUCCGGGACGAAAGAGCCUGAGGUAAAUAGCCUAAGGAAGUGACGGUACCGGAAAAGCAAGCCACGGCUAACUACGUGCCAGCAGCCGCGGUAAUACGUAGGUGGCAAGCGUUGUCCGGAAUUAUUGGGCGUAAAGCGCGCGCAGGCGGCUUACUAAGUCCAUCUUAAAAGUGCGGGGCUUAACCCCGGGAUGGGAUGGAAACUGGAAAGCUGGAGUAUCGGAGAGGAAAGUGGAGUUCCUAGUGUAGCGGUGAAAUGCGUAGAGAUUAGGAAGAACACCGGUGGCGAAGGCGACUUUCUGGACGAAAACUGACGCUGAGGCGCGAAAGCGUGGGGAGCAAACAGG